GUCCAAUGUGAGGUGGGGGUGUCCAUCCCAGUCCAAUGUGAGGUGGGGGAGGGGUCCGUCCCAGUCCAAUGUGAGGUGGGGGGGGUGUCUCAUCCCAGUCCAAUGUGAGGUGGGGGGGUCUCAUCCCAGUCCAAUGUGAGGUGGGGGGUCCAUCCCAGUCCAAUGUGAGGUGGGGGGUCUCGUCCCAGUCCAAGGUGAGGUGGGCGGGUCCGUCCCGAGUCCAAUGUGAGGUGAGGCGGUCUCGUCCCAGUCCAAUGUGAGGUGGGGGGUCUCGUCCCAGUCCAAUGGCAUCAUGAUCAUAAUGCUGAGGCGAUGGUAAAGAGUAAACACUGGGAAGCUUUAUCUUGACUUUCAUUGAACUUCACAAGCCACGUGUCAGUUUCUCGCACUGAACACACCCUCAU
rnacentral:lncRNA from 1 species